ensembl:lncRNA
CAGAAAUGUGUUCGUAAGACAUAAGUUUGUCUUAUAAGCUUAAGUACCAUGACUUUAUUACACAAGAACAGACAAGCAUUUUAAUGAUAUUGCAAUACAAUAUUGGCAAUCUUCCACAUUCUAACCAAGUGUCAUGAAAUAGAUCUAAGCUUUGUCAGUGGGGAACAAUGCCAUAAACAUGGGCCUGCACUCCAUCCUAGAACACUUGAAAAUGCAGAACCGAAUGUAAUAGCUUAAAAGCAUAGGCUUAACUAACUAUGUUGAGGAAGGGAAUGGGAGUGUUAUCCCUUCCUUCUAGCCACAACCAAAGCCCUGAAGGAUGCAUUUCCUGCACUAACAAUUGUCCAGGCGUCAUUACAUACAUACUGAUAAGUCAUUACACACAUACUGAUACAUCACUGUGAAAUAUGCAUUGCAAACAAUGUAAUCCGGACCCAAAAGCAUUCCAUACUGUUGCAUUUUAGCUCUGCAUUUCAAAGACUAGUAAACAUGACCAUCAUUUGAGUUGGAUUUCCUAACUCCGUGAACAGUUCAGCCGAUGUGGCUGUAUUUUCCCAUUGCCUUGUUUGAUUUACAGGGUUAGGGGUUAGCUGUACUAUACGCAGCUACUGAUGAUUUUACCCAGGAUAUCCUCAACUAACCUUUCUUGUCCUUGGCCAGAUUCAUUACCCAGUCUAGUGGGUGGCAGUCUGUGUCUCUAACCCCUACACUAUUUAACAAUGGGGGAGUCAGUCACUCACUCAGUCAGAGACAUUCACUCUUCAUGGCCGGCACCGCUUACACGUUCCUGCAGAAAUGUGUUCGUAAGACAUAAGUUUGUCUUAUAAGCUUAAGUACCAUGACUUUAUUACACAAGAACAGACAAGCAUUUUAAUGAUAUUGCAAUACAAUAUUGGCAAUCUUCCACAUUCUAACCAAGUGUCAUGAAAUAGAUCUAAGCUUUGUCAGUGGGGAACAAUGCCAUAAACAUGGGCCUGCACUCCAUCCUAGAACACUUGAAAAUGCAGAACCGAAUGUAAUAGCUUAAAAGCAUAGGCUUAACUAACUAUGUUGAGGAAGGGAAUGGGAGUGUUAUCCCUUCCUUCUAGCCACAACCAAAGCCCUGAAGGAUGCAUUUCCUGCACUAACAAUUGUCCAGGCGUCAUUACAUACAUACUGAUAAGUCAUUACACACAUACUGAUACAUCACUGUGAAAUAUGCAAAACAUGUGUCUAAUGGCUACUCGGCAUCAAAACAGUCAUUUCUACCCUGCGGGCUGGCUGAACUGGGCCUGCUUAGUUUUUAUUUCAGGUUUCUUUCAAUGUUUAGAUUCAGUUUUUCCAUUUUCUUUGAGUCUGUCCCCUACAAGCAGGGCCGGCUCCAGGCAUAAGUGACAUAUGCAGUUGCUUAGGGCCCCCGACCACUAGGAUGCCCCCGACUGCUAGGGAGCCCCCGACUGAUUGAGGAGAGGGGGACCCAAAUUAAAUUUUGCUCAGGACCCCCACAAAGAAGCUAGAGCCGGCAAUGCCUACAAGCCUACUGGUACAGUGUUGGGAAUCUAACCCUAGUAGCCCAUCUUCUAACCUCUCUAUACAUUGACCAGGCUAUAUAUGUAUCCCAGCUUUUUUGGUCUUUGCAAGUAGAUAAUUGUAUGCUUGUAACCUGGACACGGCAUGUUAUUCUCUCUGGGGCAGCUGACUGUUUAGACAUAAUGGUGGGUCUGGGGAAUCCAAAAUACUUUGCUAUUGUUCAUGCUCCAAAACAGGUAUACACAGAUAAGCCAGAACCUGACCACCUGCCUAAUAUGCUGUUCGUCCUGCUUGUGCCACCAAAACAGCACCAACCCUCAAAGGCAUGGACUCUACAUUACCACUGAAGUUGUCCUGUGGUACAGUAUCUGGCGCUAAGACAUUAGCAGCAGAUCCUUCAAGUCCUGUAAGUUGUGAGGUGGAGCUGCCGUGGAUUGGACUUGCUGGUCCAGCACAUCCCCCAGAUGUUCAAUUGGAUUGAACUGUCCAUCAUGUUCCUGAAACCAUUCCUGAACAGUGUGUGCAGUUUGGCAGGGUGCAUUAUCCUGCUGAAAGAGGCCACCGCGGCUCUGCAACCCCAUACGCAUCAGGGUGCGAUGCACUGUGUGUUGUGACACAUUCCUCCCAUAACCACCAUUAAUAUGUGACUUGGGCCACGGUUCGGACCAGACGGGAUAGCCUCUGUUGCCCUUGCACAUUGAUGAUUCUUGGGCACCCAAUACCCUGUCGCUGGUUUCUGGCUUGUCCCUCCUCGGACCAGUGUCGGUGGGUACUCACCACUGCAGACCGGGGGAACCACACAAUCCAUGCCAUUUCAGAGAUGCUCUGACGCAGUUGUCUGGCCUUAACAAUUUGGCCCUUGUCAAAGUCGCUCCUCCUGCCUGUUAGUCUUUUCUCCUGCCCGUUUUUCCUGCAUUUAACACGUUGACUACACUGCAAAACAUUUCUUUAAAAAAUAGGAAAACUUAAACUUAACUAUGUCUGAGGAGAUAAAUGACUGAAAUAAUCUGCCAAUGGAACAAAGCAAAUUGAUAUCCAAGGCAUAUUUUCUAAUACCAAGCAAUAUUAUCUAACACAACUUCAGCUUGUUCAAAAACAUUUACCUUAUUUUAAGGAUGGUUAGAUUUUUUUAACCCGACAACAAGAUAAAUAUAUUUCUUAAGACAUUUUUUUUUGCAGUGUACGAGAAUUGAUUGAUCACUUGCCAUCUAAUCUACCAAGACCUUGACAUGUGCCCUUGUUAGGAGAUGAUCAAUGUCAUUUGCUUCACCUGUGAGUGCUCGUAAUGUUUUGGCUCAUCAGCGUAUAACGCUCGCCCUUUCCUUUACACUCAGUGACUGACUAAACAAGUGGGACUAAUGACUCCCUUCUAUAGAGUAGCACUUAUGAAACAGACCGUGCCCCAUAUGUAACAUGUAUGUGUAUUCCACCACUACUCACCCGCCGCAAUAUGUGCUGUGUUUAUAUGCGCUGUGUGAGUGUAUGCAUUCUGUUUAUAGCACCACCACUUAUGAUCUAGAGCUAUGCAGUCUGUGUGUGUGUGUUUGUAUGAACAUCUGUGACAGUACAGUAUAUACCAGAAUAUAGGUGGGGUUGAAUGUUGGGGUUGGGGGGGCAUUCACAUCACUUAAACAUAGAUCUCCAAUAUAACAGACAUGUCUUUCCUAUACAACGUGUCACACUCCCUGCAUGUAUGAGGCUGGAGCCAUCCAUUAUCUCUGCGCAGAAAUGGGCUAAAAUCAUAUUUUCACUGGGCUUGACUGAACUUGCCGUCAUGGAACUAGUGGAAUAAUCACAAGUGUCGACCCCAUCCAUCUAAAGCAGAUUUUAAACACAUUCCUAAACUAUUGUAAAUAUAUCAAAUACUAUUUAAAACCAGGUCUGUACAAAAUAGCAAGCCCCUGCUUUGGAGAGCAGGGCGAUAUGAUGCAUUAACCAGGGUUAGCCUUUGCAGCUGGAGUAUAAAACAGGUGUUAGCUGCCAGUGUGCGUGUGCGUGUGUGUGUGUGCGUUUGUGUGCGUGUGUGUGCGCGUUUGUGUGCGUGUGGGUGGCUGUGCGUAAUUCAGCUCUGUGUGUUCAUGUGGAAAAGAUACUAAAAGAUAGUAAAAACUGAACAAUUACUUACCACAAAGAUUAUUUUUGGCAGGUAUGUGAUUUCUGGCUCAGGGCUUAGGUUUCAGGAAAAACAUGCAAUUGAGCAUAGUGUUAACACUGGGUUUGAUUUGAGGUUUAUGCAUCACUGGUUAUGUUCAAGUGAUAGGGAGCUAUGUUAGGUUUAGUUCAAGGUUAGGAUAAGGGUUCAUUUUAGGACUAGGAACCAUGAAUAUCUGGUCAGGUUUUGGUCUUAGGUCCCCACAAGGAUAGAAAGAAAAAGCUGUGUGUGUGCGUGUGUCUCUUUUUCUGUGUGUACGUUAUACUACAUUGGUCGGGACCAUACACCCCAGCAAGGAUUGCAAAACAAGAAAAAUGCUACCUCAUGUUGAAAGUCCCCCUGAGAACAAAGAAUAUUUUCAGCUUAGGUUAGAAUUGGGGUUAGAGUUAGAAUUAGGGUUUAGUGGUUAGCGAGAAUCUGAUUUUUGAAUUGGAAUAACUGUUGGGUUACCCAUAAGGAUAGUAAAGCCUAAAAUAUGUGUGUGUGUGAGUGUGUGUGUGUAAUGUGGGUCCCAGUGGAGAAGAGUCUAUCGAUGUCAGCUUAAUCAGUCAGCCACAACCUAAGCAAAACGUCAAGUAGACGGAGGGUUCAGGCAAUCUCCCUCACAGUGGCUGGUUACGGGAUUGGAUGUAUGGAAGAGAAAUGGACAUACUCUUGACUUGCUUUUAGCCGUGUGUAUGCACACGCUGACCUAGGCACCUGCUCAGUGUUAGGUUAGGUGUGACCAAGUGUGCAUCCUCUACACAUCACAGUGCACUACUUAAGGCUAUUAGCCUUACAGGGCUCUGGUCAAAAGUAGUGAACUAUAAAGGGAGUAGGAUGCCCUUUGGGAUGUAACCCAUGUGUCAAAAUAUACAGGGGUUGCAGCCUGGCUGUAAGUAGUUGAGCUUUACAGCCUGCUGCAGGCCUAUGCAUGGUUUUUAUUGUGCUUACAUUGGGGAUCUGUAAGACGUGGUGUAGGCUAGCUGAGCGAAUUACACUCUUAGUAAUGUAAUGCUAACGUCAUAUGGUACGCUAACUCACUAUCUCUGCCCCCUCUCCUCUGUUGCUGCCACAAAGAUAGGCUAAUCCAUCCACACUGGUGGCUAUUAUGACAUUCCUGUGUUCAGUGUUGAAUGAAGAGCGACCACAAGAACAUGGGUAAAGGGCAGCGUGGGUCGUGAGAAUGGACUAAUCUUAUCUUAUUGCCUCUCACUUCACUUUUUUAAGAGAAUAAUCUUCUCCACUGCCAUCUCCCCUUUUACGACCAUGACAUGAUAUGCACACCUCUCUUUAUCCCCUAUGUCUCUCUCUCUUCCUUUCACGCUGCCUCUCUUUUCCCAACCAUAGUCUCUUAUCUACUUUCUUUCUUAAAAUCUAUCAUCACUCUCUCUCGUUCCCUCUCUCUCCCAUCCCUCUCAGCUAUAUAGAGUUCCUUUUCCACAGCUCCAUUCAGUGGGUUCCUCCAGUCUAAAGGAUCUGUCUUCUUGGCACAGAUGCCCUGUCUCUGCUCCAAAUCAAGCCCUAUUUCCUUUGCAGUGCACUACAUUUAACUAGAGCCCAUAUGGGUUCUUGACAAAAGUACUGAACUACAUAGGGAAUAGGGUGUCAUUUGGGAUACUAGCCCUGACUGAACUCCGGAGGUGACAUCAUCGCCCAGCACCAUGUGACCUGCUGUGGGCAAACCUUCCCAUGCUGGUUCACACCAGGAUUACAGUUCAACUCUCUCUCUCACCAUCUCUCUUUCUCACACCCUCUCUCCAUCUCCAGAUCUCUUCUAGAGAGACAAGUCCUAGUUCAACCUAAUUUCUUUAUGGUUAUAUUACUGUUCCUGUAAACACAGAGCUAUAAUGUAGACUAUUGAAUAGUUCACCUUUCCGUGUGCACGUGUGUUUGUGUGUGUGUGUGUGUGUGUGUGUGUGUGUGCGUGUGUGUGUACAUGUGGAUCACAUGAGAUUAAGGCCUAUAUUAGAAAGUUUGUCCAGGUGGGGAAAACUCUCCACUAGGGGUGUGGGUUUCAAUGGACUGCCCACUAAGCGGUUAAGGUACAAUUCUGGAGACAAUGGUUUAAGGUCUAAAUCCUCUUAGUGAGGGCUCUGGCUGCAUUCCAUAUCCCCUAUAUAUUGACCAGCUGGUCAAAGGUAGUGCACUAAAUUAGGAAUAGUAUGACACUUGGGAUGCCUCUUGUGUAUGUACCAAGAACUGAGACGAGGCAUUCUGAUCCUGUUUAUUUUCCAGGCGUAAAGCUAGCAGGUUUCAGGAACUGAGAGCUCUGGUCAGAGGGCUGUGCUGUUGGAGGAUAGAGGUGCUCUGGUCAGAGGGCUGUGCUGUGGGAGGAUAGAGGUGCUCUGGUCAGAGGGCUGUGCUGUGGGAGGAUAGAGGUGCUCUGGUCAGAGGGCUGUGCUGUGGGAGGAUAGAGGUGCUCUGGUCAGAGGGCUGUCCUGUGGGAGGAUAGAGGUGCUCUGGUCAGAGGGCUGUGCUGUGGGAGGAUAGAGGUGCUCUGGUCAGAGGGCUGUGCUGUGGGAGGAUAGAGGUGCUCUGGUCAGAGGGCUGUGCUGUGGGAGGAUAUAGGUGCUCGGGUCAGAGGGCUGUGCUGUGGGAGGAUAUAGGUGCUCGGGUCAGAGGGCUGUGCUGUGGGAGGAUAGAGGUGCUCUGCAGCGUGGCAGAGUCAUGGUGUACCAUGUUGAACUGUGACCUUUGCACUAGAGGCGUCCCGGCCUUGUGGUCUCUGUGGCACUUGGUUGGUUGUUAUUUAUGUCAGGACGGGAAUGGGAAACUGAUCCUCUUAACAGGCUGGAAUUGGCCCGUAUUCAGGAAGGUGUCACUGUCACAAUCGUACCUGGGGUUGGGAACCUGCAGAGAGAGAGAGAGAGAGGGAGGCGUGGGGGGCGGGAGAGAGAAAUGCCUGAACUUAAUAUGGCUUUGUUGUUUUGAAAAAUUACAGUACUCUGUGUAUUAUUGAAUUUUAGAGUAGGAGAUGGAUACAAGCAGAUUAGCAGGUAGGGUUUCAGAAUAGGACAAUAAAUUAAGAUACUAUAGCGGACUGCACAGUACAAUGCUUUACUACAGUAUCUAAUGGACUGGAUUGGUUUUUCAGCCCUCAGUGACGGGAACCAUUUAGAUUCAUGUAUGAUAACCAAUCAUAUUUAGUCCCUGGGUGCUGCUGGUUAGUCCUUGUUCUGCUGUAGCAAACUGGACUGACCAAUAAUCAUGGGUCUCCCAAAUGACAAACUAUUCCCUUCAUUAUGUGCUACUUUUGACACCCAGAGAGAACAGGUACAUCCCAACAAACCUCUCUGCUCCAGCCUUGUUCUCUCCACUCCUUCUCUGUCCAUCUCUACAUGCCCACAACUAAACCAGUAUUCUUAACUAAUCCACAGUCAGUUUCAAAAUUGUUGUCUGAAGAUUUUUUGGAACCUCCUCUCCCUCUUGCUCCCUCUCUACUCUCUUGCUUCCAGAUGUUUCUAUAACCACGUGUUAACUAUAAAAAGAGAAGCAGCCAGGCCAAGAUAACACUCAUUCAAUUGAUUUAUCGGAAGCAAAUACUAUCACUCUGUUUUAUUUUAAAGAGGAGUCCUCCAUUUCCCCAAAACCAAUCAAUAACGAAUGGUUCGUUUUAUUGGGCAUGUACAAUGAAUGUGUAAUAAAUCUCAGUUGAAGUUGACACAACAUUGACAAAACGUCUGUAAAAUAGAGAAUGGCUCGUAUUACAAUGUCAUUGUAAUGCAGUACCAGCCUGUAUCCGCACCAUAAAACCCACAUGAAUCCACAUCAGAGACAAUAUGGUUUACUGCAUCUAUACAAGAUGGUGUUCAACCCUGGGAAUUCAGAUACUGUCCAGGGAAACGUAACACACGGUACAUCACCAACUUAUUUUCCUAGAAAGCAAAAGAACAUACGAAGAAGAAAAGAACACACAGCAAAACGUUGUAAAAAAACUGUAAAAAUAAAACCCACAAAUAGAGAGUGGUUUAGAGCUAAAGUAACGAAAGGAAGGAAGGCUUGGACGCAUUCGCGACUUCCUGUUUGACGUCCCGCACUGCAACCCCAGGGCUGCUCGGUGCCGUCGUUGUGGCGCAGCACCUCGUGAGGAGGGAGUGCUAGAGUGCACCGCCCUCUAUGAAAUCUUAUAUCACCCCUGAAAAUACCCCUCUGGUAUCCCUGCGGCGGGGUUCAACUCCCGCAGUAAUGUGUCCAUGGUCUUCUAACUUAGGUCCAUACCAACUAACCCAUGUAGAACCCAAGUUACCAGACCAUCAGAGAGAAAUGUGGUCCCAGCACCAUGCGGCUAGACCAAGAGUUAAAUCUGUCUCUGCUGUGGCUGGGACCAGAACAGACCCCUGUAGUGCUACUUAUUAGGUUGACGUGAUGUGGAGUCACUAAGUCACUGAGUCAGAGCUGGAUCGGGCCGGGUCCCUGACAUGAUUGACGGUGUCUGUCUGUUCUGUCAGCACCCCCGCUGAGUUAGGGAGCUGCACAUGAUUUUCCUCAAAACCGAUUUCCCUCAAAACCAAACAGCUGGCAGCAGAUGCGAAUGGCUUGUGUGGGAGGAUUAUUUACGUGUUUCCCCAUAAAGCGAGGUCAGCGGCGGAUGCCAGAAUCACAUCUCAGUUAUUACCAUGGUGGGUUGGUCACCACGAGCCAAGAAAGCCAUGACUUGCGAUAAACACAAAAGUAAUUACAAUUUAAGGAGGCCUCUGUGUUGUUCCAAGCAACAAACGCACGAUACAGGCGGUGUGAAACGACAGCAUUUGGGUUCCACGUCAAUCUGUGUGUCUCCAGAGUUCAAUGUGUAUAUGCACCUGCAUGUGUCUUUGCAUAGCGUGUGUGCAUCCGGAGGAGUUUGGGUCGUAACUGUCCUCCUCACCUUGUCCGCGUUUAUGUUCUAUGGAAAACUUUCAGGUUGCAUCCCAAACGGCAGCCUAUUCCCUCUUGAAGACGUGAAGAGACUCUCUCUCAGUGCUUUCAUGACAUAGCAAAAUACACUUCUGGGUCAAAGAGUUCAAAGCUGAGAGCAAGCCAACUAACCCUGUCGCAAUGCCAAACAUCACAGGCUGUAAAACUGGAUAAAGGAUCUCCUUUCAUCUGAGCCGCAUUGGGCUUUCUUUACACGUAUAAAAAAAAAUAUCUCAGUUUACUAUAGUAUUCUGUAGUAAACUAUAAUUGCUAAAACAGCUGGUCAAACUAGCAAAAUGUGACAGAAUAUCACCAUUUGCGUCACAACGAAAUUUCAUUAACAUUUAUGUUCAUCACUCACCAUGUUAGGCCGUCAGAUGCUCCCCAAAAUAUGUCUUUGCAAAAACAAAUCAAUGAUAGUUAACUUGCUAACUCUUUCAUCAUUGGAACUGCAUUCACAGUAUCCAAUUUUGGUUUUUGUGUGGUAGUUGGUCAACAUUUCUGUAUAUUUGCACCAAGUAGAUUCUGUGCAUGAAAAUGUCCAAUAACUGUUCUAGCUAAUUGGAAAAUGAACUGCCAUUUUAGAAUACACUUUGGACGAAUUAAUGAAAGCUCCUCCACAAUUCUGUGGUACAACACAUCAUGGUAUUGUUCAAUCGUGUGAUGUACUUAAAUUACAGAAUUGUGCAGAAUACUUUAUAAUAUUAUAUUACACACUGCAGUAUCCCUUCAUCAUGUAGUGCUAGAACAUAGUAGUAUAUUGGAGAAUACUAUACUACAAACUGUGUUGAGGUAUAGGAUUUCCUGUGCAUUUGUCUCACCCCUCCUCCCCCAGUCUUUAUGACUAGACACUGUAAAGAGGGGUAGAAAGUUGCAACCAGGCUGGUAGCAAGGGGGAGCAAAACAGUUGAAAUUUCAGUGCAUUCAGUUUUACGUCCCAGUAUAAAAACAGAGAAGUUCAAAUCAUUUUUGGUGUAAAAUAUGUCAGCACAAUGGAAGAAGCCUUUGGAUUUGCGUAGUAUGGCAAAACAAAUGCUGCAUCUUUAACCAUAGUCUGUAAUAUUAGAUUUUUUAGGGCAGAAUCUAGUGAUGAAGCUGCUUCACUAAACUCAGUCUUACGUGCCUCCACAAAAGAGGUUACAUCCUAGCUUUCACUGUUAAACAUUAAUAAUAGUCAUCGGCCAUAGCCAAUUAUCCCGAACCAGCUAAUUUCUCACCACAAAAAUAGAUAUCAGAAAUUGGCAUUGCCGAAGUACCUUCAGUAUACAAAGGAGUAGGUGGGCAAGCAGUUGCAGCAGCGUUUAAACCGCUGAGGCAGAGCCCCGCCACAGCGAUAAGGCUGCCUUGUUCCAGCUAGCUCCGUAUGGAUUCUAUCUCCUGUUCCACAAGCGCAGCCAGGAGAAUGGCUCCACAGCUCCCCCAACCUCAGACUGUUCCCGGUGAUCUUAAAACAGAGGCACUAGCCUAAGUUAGCCUAGAUUUCUAUCUCAUAGCAGUCGGUUCAAAGCGCUUCUAUUGCUUCAUUGAUCACAUGAGAGUCAGAUCCACAGAUAUAUAUGGUUCCGUAUCAUAAUGUUGCUGAAUCUUCUGAGGGUCUGAUCUUCCACAUUUGAAGCAGGACUAUGGAUUGAAAUAGCAUGAUUCAUAAUCCCUGAAAAACCUUUCGGCACAACUGGAAGAGCAUCUCUUUGCAUGGUUGCACCCGUCAAUACUUCCAUGGGGGACAUGUAGAGUGGAAUUUCAAUACCUUCGGUUCAGUGUAGGCUUACCCCACCUCAGUGUUUUGAUGGCUAUGGAAAUACCUAUAGGACAAGUGGACUUCCAUCAAUGUUUGCUUAAUAUUAGCAGAGCUGUUCUGCCUGAAUGAAACACAGACUAUAUUUGAAGCCAUUCCAAAAUCAAUAUCACAUUUUAGAGUUUUUGGGGGAUGAUAAGGCAUUCAUUAUUAAGGUGAUAAGCCUGGUAUUUGGUAAGACUGUUGUCCAUGGCUGCAUCUCACUUCUUCAGGCCAUUACAUAGUGGUUAUUUGGAUGUUACUGUUUCGUUUGUUUAGUGUUAACCUAGCCUUUAGUCUCCUUUUGCAUAUUUGUGGCCUUUUUGUCUGCUUGAAUGAGUCUGGUCAUUCUCCUCUGACCUCUCUCACUAACAACUGCCCACACAACUGCAGCUAUUUGGAUGUUUGUUGUUUAUCACCCAAUUUUCUUUAAAGUAAAGCAAUUGCAGUGAGUGAAAAUCCCAGGAGGUCAGCCAUUUGUAAGAUGCUUGAACAACUACGUCUGGCACCAACAAUCACACAACGGUCAAAGACGCUUAGAUUCCUUUCCAAAAAAGUUCUCUUAAUUUUAACCCUUCUUUUCCACACUGAAAACCUACCUUUUCGACUUUUUUGGAAAGGAAAGAAAAAGAUGCUGUGGUCUCUUAAUUUUUUGUAUGUUGAGUUGCAGCCCCAUGAUUUGCUGUUUGGCUAUUGGUGUUAACACACAAUAGUACAUAAUAAAGUGACUGGUGAGACUAGCUGUGGUAUAAUUGUACUGUUCUGUUUUGUUAUUUUCUAAAUUAUUCUUCAGCAUCUAAACUGCUAUUCAGAAUUUCUGUCUGUGUGAAUUUACCCCACUUUCAGUGUUUUGUUCAAUUGUUCUGGUAAGCCAACUCUGCCUAUAGCUGCAUUAACAUUGUUUGAAAUUAGUAAAUGACUCUUUGUUUGCUGUCCUUGGUGUGUUGUUAUGAUGGGGCUACACAUUUCAGGACACAUUUUCACCUCAAAUGUAUUCAGUGGUCUCAGCAUUUGAACUUCAGUAGAGUGACAAUAAGCAGAAUUCAAUGCAAUUCCAAUGCUAGAACUGAAAAUAAUGUGACCCCAUGCUGAUUUGAACUGCCCUCUCCGUUCAUCCAGCAGCCAUGCCUGGUUGCAGCCCUGAACUGACACUUACAAGUCUCAAGUUUCUUUCUCACAAAACAGCAGAAGAGCUGAACUUUUAACCCUUCAGUCCAUACAGUAGUCCUGUUUUCUAACAGGUUUUGGAACACAUGUUCUUUUAGGAUUGCUUUUCCAGACUCAGAUUAAAAAUAACCCCUACUGAGAUUUUCCACUGAGCCUGAUCUUUUGACAGGGCUAGACUGAAUCUGAAGUCAGGUGUCUGCGUUGCCUUCAGAACAACCUGAAUGUUUUGUUUUCUGGAUUCUACAAGGUUGGGAAAUGCUCCACAGGGAUGCUGAUACACAUCACUGACAUGACCGUGUUACACCGUUGCUGGAAGUUGGACGUCAGAAUAUUCAUAAAAGCUCUAUUUGCUUUAAGUCUGGUGACUGCGCAGGCUAUUGAAGUUAACUGAACUUGUUGUCAUGUUCCUGAAACCUUCUGAAGCAACACAAACAUUGUGACAUGUGCCACAUAUUCUCAAUGUAUCCACGUGGCACUGGGUAAACUGUGGCCAUGAAGGGUUUCACCAAGUCAGACAAACCGGCACUAAAAUGUUGCUCAAUUUGUAUCAAGGGACCUACAAUAUGCCAAGAAAACAUUCCCCACACAUUACACCAUCACCAGUACCGAUGACACCAGGCAAAAUGGAUCCGUGGUCUCAUGCUGCUAACGCCAAAUCCUGAAUCACCAACAGGAACUGGGAUUCAUCAAACCAAAGCAAUGCUUUUCCAAUCCUCAACUUUCAAGUGUAUGCGAUCACCUCCCUACUACAUCUGCUUCUUCUGCUGUUAGCCGAUAGGAGUGGACCUGGUGUGGUUGUCUGUUGCAGUAGCCCAUCAGCACCAAAGAACAUUCACGUCCUGGCAUGGCAGGUUGCCAGCUACUAGUGAGAUGCAAUGCCCUCUCUUCCUCACUUGGAUCAUGGACACCACUUUUGCUGUUUAUUGCCCUAACCUAUUUCCCUAAUUGCUGUCCCUAUUUAAGUUUCUCUUUUCCUAGUGUGUCUUGUCGGUCUUUGUUUUGGUUUCAUCCAUUUGUAAUGUUGUUCUUCCUCUGGGAUUUUGUAUUUGUUUGGUACAUUUGCGUUACUUUAUUAAAGGUCUUCCGUUCUCCCGGCACGUGUCCUGCUUCAUCGUUCAACGUUGCAGGCCCAGUGAGUUAAGGUUAGUUUCAGCUAUGUCAUUCAUCUGCGCAUCACUGUUUACCUGUGCAGUUAUUAUUAAUAUUACUGAGCCUGUUUGUGGCCACAAUCCACGCCAUUCUCUUUCGACCUCUGCAACACUAAUAGCACACAUGCUUGAGCUAGCUAGCAUAACUGGAUAUGUUUUGAAGGAGAGGGGUUUUGCGUCUGUAUAGGUAAAAGUUCGAUCUUAUUCCAGUUAGUUCUGUAUCCAGACAUGGUACCAAACAAAUUAAUCAAGUAGAACAGGAAUAUUAGAGUGGGGUUUAGGUACAUAAAGGUUAUUGUUAUAUACUUAAAGAGACGUUUAGUGUUUUUAGUAUUUUAGCCAUGUGUUGCUACAUGAGAUCUUAUGGCUUGAGCUAGCAGCAUGAUGGCCAGAGAUAGACAAAGAGGUGAAAGUGUAAAACUCUGCCUCAUCCAUCAAUGGAGUUUAAAUUGCUGUGACAGUGAUUGAUUGAUAGAUUGGUGAGUAUUUGAGUGCAAUAAUUAUGGUAUAGAAGUUGGAUCCAUAUUAUAAAUCUGCCUGCAAUCUUACAUCAUUGUAGGACAACAAAUAAGCAUUUAUUCAUGCUAGGGCGGACAUGUGCGAAUCUCUUAAAAGCAUAAACCCUCGCAAGGCUCCUGUUCUGGACAAUAUCCCUGGCCUCAAGGUACGUGCUGACCAACUGGCUGAUAGUCCCCAAGUUUCAAGGAGACCACCACUGUCCCUGUCCCCCAAGAAAAGUACUCUGCCCAAACAUCUCCUGCCCUAGAGCACUAACAUCCCUAGUCAUGACGCGCUUCAGCGGUAAGUCUAAGGACAUAUCACCACCUCCCUACCCUCAUCUUUAGAUCCACUACAAUUUUCUUGGAGACCAAACUUGCCCUCCACUCUGCCGCCUCUCAUCUGGACCGAAGGAAUACAUAUGUGAGAAUGCUGUUUGUUGGUCGUAGUUCAGCAUUCAACUCAAUUGUGCCCCACAAGCUCGUGGUGAAGCUCAGGGAUCUGGGCCUCCACACCGGCCAGUGUCCGCGGACCUCAGGUCGUUCGGAUGGGCAGCUCCACCUAAUCCACACUGACUCUCAGCAUGGGCGUCCCACAAGGCUGUGUGCUCAGUCCCCUCCGGUACUCCCUGUUCAAGCAUGACUCCGGGCCCCCGCACUCCUCUGACAUCACUGAGAAGUUCGCAGACGACACCACUGUCAUUGGCCUGAUCUCCGAUACUGAUGAGACUGCCUAAAGAGAGGCAAUCAGAAUCUUGUCAUCAUUGUGUCAGGAUGACGACCUCCAGCUUAACGUCAGCAGAACGAAGGAGCUGAUUGUGGACUACAGGACAGGAGGAAACGGGGGAAGCCAUGCCCCUAUCCACAUCAAUAGGCCUGCAGAGGAGAGAGUCUGCAGCAUCAGGGUCCUCCGGGUCAGAGUCAGCGACAUUCUGUCCUGGUCUCUCUAUUCCAACAUCGUUAUCAAGGAGGCAAGGAAACGUCUCUUCUUCCUAAGCCGACUAAAGAGGUGGACUCCACGAGGAGUGGACUCCAGGAUACUCACCAACAUCUACAGGUGCAUCACUGAGAGUAUCCUGACGGGCUGUAUCUCCACCUCCACAGUAUCCUGACUGGCUGUAUCACCGCCUCCACAGUAUCCUGACAGGCUGUAUCACCGCCUCCACAGUAUCCUGACUGGCUGUAUCACUGCCUACACAGUAUCCUGACUGGCUGUAUCACAGCCUCGUAUGGCAGCUGCACUGUCCUUGACCAAAUGGCUCCAUAGAGGGUGGUCAAGAUGAUUCACCUGGAGGGACCGGCCAUCUCUGCAGGACUUGUAUAGGUAUACACACAGGUGCAGGAAGAAGGCCCUACGCUUCAUCAGGGACCCAUGUCAUCAGGGACCCAUGUCAUCAGGGACCCAUGUCAUCAGGGACGGAUGUCAUUAGGGACCCAUGUCAUCAGAGACCCAUGUCAUCAGGGACGGAUGUCAUUAGAGACCCAUGUCAUCAGGGACCCAUGUCAUCAUGGACCCAUGUCAUUAGUGACCCAUGUCAUUAGGGACUCAUGUCAUCAGGGACCCAUGUCAUUAGGGACACAUGUCAUCAGGGACCCAUGUCAUUAGGGACCCAUGUCAUCAGGGACCCAUGUCAUCAGGGACCCAUGUCACCCCAACAUGAACUUUCUCCCUGUUUUGCUCUGGCAGGAGAUACAGGACCAUCCUGUCCACAACCAACAGGUCCCAGGAAAGCUUCUUCCCCCAGGCCUUAAGACUGUUGAAUCUUUGAACACAUUUAAUAAUGUACUAUUGCAAUAGAGGAAAUAACAUUACCAGAUGAAUGCUGGAACCUACCUAACGCUGCUUAGAAGAGUGACACAAUGAACACUUAUCAAUUUUAUUAUGUACUAAAUUUCUUCUUCUAUAUUGUUCUUAUUCUAUUUUUUAUUCUAUUAUAUUACUUAUGCCAGAAAUGUUGAGGGUGUUUUUGGAAAACAAGCAUUUCAUUAACAACAAUGCUGUUGCUAUUGUGUAGUGACAAAUAUACUUGAAUUUAUACACUCUGUGUAGACUACAUUUAGGUUAUCAAUUAUAAGAUCUGUAGCAGCAUUUCUCUUUCCUGGGGGCACCAAAGGCUUGCUUAGUAGUUUGCAUUUCACUGAUAUUCUGUUGAUGCUAAUUUGAUAUAAAAUCCUUUAGGUACCGUAUUUCUCUUGUGUUCUGGCUCUGCCUAUUUGGCCUUGCAUUAGGGAGGGAAUGAGUAAGUAAGGGAGUGAGUGAGGGAAUGAAUGAAUGAGUAAGUGCAUAUGUGACUGCAUAAUUGGAUAAGUAAGUUAAUUAGUAAGUGAUUGAGUAAGUGAAUAAAUUAGCAGGUGAGUGAGUAAAUGAAUGAGUUAAAGGUUGUUGGAAAUAUAAAAAUUGGUGUAAGCAUUGCGAUGAUGUCUCAUGCAGCUUGACAUUAAGUUUUUUCAGUUUAUUGAAAAAAUACAUUCCCUUUUUCUACCUUCAGGCAAUGCUCAAACCCUACAUACAUUUUCUAGCUUUUAGUUCCCAUUUGGUCUUUUGGCUGAACCACCCAACAGGGGGUCAGAUCUGCCAUUCAAUAGCCCUUUGCAGCCCAGAAGUGUAGCUGUCCCCAUACAGUGCCUUGUUGCAACUUACACAAUAAAUGUAUGUUGCUAAUACUAAACAUUGAUUUACUCUAAUCUUUUUUCUGUUCAUUACAUGGAAUGUUAAACGAGGACGUGUAACUGCAUUCUAGCAAUCUUUGUAAUAAAGCAAAUUCAUCGUGGUCAAUAUUUGUUUUUUAAAAGGAAAUUAUUUACAAUUAACUCAGAACUUUCACUUUUACUUUGUUACACAAACAGUUUUCACUUUGCCUUGAGUAAAUUGUCAUUAAAUUAAUAGUAUUUCCAUACUCUUUCCAUUUCUGGAAGUAUGUGGGUCUGUCCAAAAUAGGGCACUGCUUAUCCCUGGAGUUAAAUGGUGCCCUUUCAGGCUCUAUUCAAAAGUAAUGCACUCUGUUGAAAGGAACAAGGUGCCAAUUCUAUGUGCUGACAGGAGGACGAUGUACAAAAUCAAACACUCUGAGUUGAAAGUAAGAAGGAAACUAGAUACAUCUCCAUUGGCAGCAUUACUCUCCACAAACCUCAAAUGAUAAAUGUGUUAUGCAUGUGUCAUUGAGGGCGUAGUGACCUGAGGAACAGUGGAGCAGAGGAAGAGACAGGGAUAAGAAACACUGUGACUAUGUCUUAAAUGGCACCCUAUUUCCUAGGUAAUGCGCUAAUUAAGAGUUGGAGCUAACUGUACCAGUCAAAAGUUUAGACACACCACUCUAAUGAGGGGUAACUAUGUCGAAACGUUUGACUAGUACUGGAUAUGGUCCCUGGUCAAAUGCUGUUCACUAUACAUGGAAUAGGGUACCAUUUGGGAAACAUCCUUAACCCUGUAUUUUGUUUUAUUAUGUUUCCAAUUAUUGAUACGAUCAGAGCCAGAGAUAGAAUACUGCUGCUUCGUGAGAAUGGUCUACAGAGGAAUGCUGAGAAUGACAUUAAUUAUUUAUUUAAAAUGUUGAUGACAGGAUUAAACGCCUUCAGAUGAGAAACAGAGAGAGAUAGAAAUCUAGUUUUCUAGGAAUUCAUGCCAGCAGGGCUGAUGGAGAGACAGAGAGACAGAGAGACUGAGACGGAGACUUAGAAACUGAGAUAGAGACAGAUACAUGUGAACUGAGAAAGACGAAGAAAGACAGAGACAGAGAGAUACUGAAACAGAUGGAGAGGAGUGAAACUGACCAACAAAGACACUGACAGAAACUGACCAAGACAAAAGGACUGACAGAGACUGAAAAAGACAGAGAGACUGACAGAGACUGAACAAGACAUAGAGACUGACAGAGACUGACCAAGACAAAGAUGCCAGUAUAUAGGGAAUAGGGUGUUACAAUGUAGGGAGUAGGUUGUCACUAUAUAGGGUGUUACAAUGUAGGGAGUAGGUUGUCACUAUAUAGGGAGUUACAAUAUAGGGAGUAGGUUGUCACUAUAUAGGGAGUUACAAUGUAGGGAGUAGGUUGUCACUAUAUAGGGAGUAGGGUGUCAGUAUAUAGGGGGUAGCAUGCCAGUAAAUAGGGAGUAGGGUGUCAGUAUAUAGGGAGUAGGGUAUUAGUAUAUAGGUAGUAGGGUGCCACUGUAUAGGGAGUAACAUGCCAGUAAAUAGGGCGUAGGGUGUCACUAUAUAGGGCGUAGGGUGUCACUAUAUAGGGAGUAGGGUGUUAUUAUAUAGGGAGUAGGGUGUCACUAUAUAGGGCGUAGGGUGUCACUAUAUAGGGAGUAGGGUGUUACUAUAUAGGGCGUAGGGUGUCACUAUAUAGGGAGUAGGGUGUCACUAUAUAGGGUGUAGGGUGUCACUAUAUAGGGAGUAGGGUGUUACUAUAUAGGGAGUAGGGUGUUACUAUAUAGGGAGUAGGGUGUCACUGUAUAGGGCGUAGGGUGUCACUAUAUAGGGAGUAGGGUGUCACUAUAUAGGGCGUAGGGUGUCACUAUAUAGGGAGUAGGGUGUCACUAUAUAGGGAGUAGGGUGUUACUAUAUAGGGAGUAGGGUGUCACUAUAUAGGGAGUAGGGUGUCACUAUAUAGGGAGUAGGGUGUUACUAUAUAGGGCGUAGGGUGUCACUAUAUAGGGAGUAGGGUGUCACUGUAUAGGGCGUAGGGUGUCACUAUAUAGGGAGUAGGGUGUCACUAUAUAGGGAGUAGGGUGUCACUGUAUAGGGCGUAGGGUGUCACUAUAUAAGGAGGAGGGUGUCACUAUAUAAGGAGUAGGGUGUCACUGUAUAGGGCGUAGGGUGUCACUAUAUAAGGAGGAGGGUGCUACUAUAUAGGUAGUAGGGUGCUACUAUAUAGGUAGUAGGGUGCUACUAUAUAGGUAGUAGGGUGCUACUAUAUAGGUAGUAGGGUGCUACUAUAUAGGGUGCCAUUAUAUAGGGUGCCAGACUAGUAAUCCCAAGAGAAGCUAGACCAGGCAGCAUCUAAUCUAGAGACUGUAUAUGUAUCCACAGCUGCACAGACACUAACAAACAGGACACCCACCCAUGCAGUGUCUAGGAUAAGAACCCUUGGCACCUACAUGACAACGAGCUGGACCAUAUCACGUCACACAAAACAUUAAACACACCAGCCAACAGCAACAGCAACAUUUCUAAACUAGAGACUACCAUGGACACACUCUGCUAUGCCUUAGCACUAUGCACUAUAGACAGACAGACCGAUUGAACGUAAGGUUUACCUCUGUCUGAAAAUGUCAUGCACGCAAAAAAAAACUCAGACGAAAAGAAAACGAGAAGAAUAUGCCAAGUAAUAAGAAAACUAAUCUUAGCAGCAGACAUUUUCUUGCUAUUCUGGGGGUGUUUCCUUACGCUGUGCUUGUUUUUCAUAAUGCAGUUUCAACACUUUUUCUGCUUCUCUGGUGGAAAUCACACAAUGGUCAAUACUGAUUGCUUUAUUUUUUCAGUGUUGUACCCCCUCUCGCGUUUGUUAUUGCAGAACAGGAGGGUAUGCAGGACCUGGGAUGGGGGGUUCGGACUGUGGGUGCUGCUGAAACGGCACAAUCUCUCCAUUUCUGUCUAAUAAUGUGAAAACAUGUUAAGGGUUUGUGUGUGUCUGCGUGUGUGUGUUUGUGUGUGUACCAGCUCACCAGACCUGUCCCAGGUAUGUGGACGGUGAGUGGACCCCCAGUACAGAUUCAGACACACAGGUAUGCUGCGCUGUCUGCCACUUCCUGUGGUGUAUCUGUGCAUUGGUGUGUGAUGACGUGCUGAGAGGGCUGGCGGCAUAGACACGGAACACUGGAGAUACCUUCUGUGUUCCAGAACUCAGCAGGAUCCACAACCCAGUAAAACAAUACCUCUGUGGCCUAGCCACUCAAGGCUCUCUCUCUCUCUCUCUCUCUCAUUUUCUUUAUCUUACACGCACGCACGCACACACACACACACACACAGACACACACGCGCACAUCCACACAUAUAUAAACAAAUAACUGUGUUUAAGUGCGUUGAGGAAUGAAUCCACCUACACACCUGCCCAAAAGAAUGUAGGCUUGGGCAGUGUCUUUCCAGUGUGGGGGGCACCUCCCAUGGAGCACUGUGCCGCGGAGCCAUGGGGAAGUGGCUAUUCCUGUGGUGUAGGGGUUAGGGUUCUGUCCCAAAGAGCACCCUAUUCUUAUUAUAGGGCCCUUUUUUGGCCAGAGGGUGUUGGGCAGGGUUAAGGGUAUAAUGUAUACAAGGUUGCUAUUUAGGAGGUACCAGGGAUAUGGAGUAAAGGAGCCGUUGGUUAAACUGGCCAUCAGGAAAACCACUGGCACAGCACUCUGAGCCAAAUGGAACUAAUUCUGACCAUAUCGUGCUGCAUAUGGGAAAACCUCUAAGCCCUAGUGUUCCAGCCCGGAUUAAGCAUGGUCCUGGACUUCAAAAGCACUUUCAAUGGAGAAUCUUAAUUUAGCAUACUUAUAAACCCAGGACUGAAGCUAUAUGAAUGGUAUUGAAACUGGUCAUAUGUGGCUCCUAAAAUUCAGAUAUAAAGAUAAUUUUUAAUACAUCAAAUAUAAUAAGAAUAUGGGACAGGUCUACCUG